CAGCAGCCGCGGUAAUACGUAGGUGGCAAGCGUUGUCCGGAAUUAUUGGGCGUAAAGGGCUCGCAGGCGGUUUCUUAAGUCUGAUGUGAAAGCCCCCGGCUCAACGGGGGAGGGUCAUUGGAAACUGGGAAACUUGAGUGCAGAAGAGGAGAGUGGAAUUCCACGUGUAGCGGUGAAAUGCGUAGAGAUGUGGAGGAACACCAGUGGCGAAGGCGACUCUCUGGUCUGUAACUGACGCUGAGGAGCGAAAGCGUGGGGAGCGAACAGGAUUAGAUACCCGAGUAGUCCCUGUCUCUUAUAC
rnacentral:rRNA from 1 species